rnacentral:rRNA from 1 species
UGAUUUCCCUAGUAACGGCGAGUGAAGAGGAAAGAGCUCAAAGUUGGAAUCCGGUUGCCCUAGGUAAUUGGAAUUGUAAACUGGAGAGGUGUUUUCCAGGCGAGCCAAGCAAAUAAGUCCUUUGGAACAGGGCAUCAUAGAGGGUGAGAAUCCCGUCUUUGGCUUGAGCAUUGCCUUUUGCGAUACACUUUCAAAGAGUCAGGUUGUUUGGGAAUGCAGCCUAAAUUGGGUGGUAAAUCUCACCUAAAGCUAAAUAUUGGCGAGAGACCGAUAGCGAACAAGUACCGUGAGGGAAAGAUGAAAAGAACUUUGAAAAGAGAGUUAAACAGUAUGUGAAAUUGUUGAAAGGGAACCGUUUGGAGCCAGACCGGCUGCUCUAUAAUCAAUCUCUGCUUCGGUAGGGAUGCACUUGUAGGGCUUUAGCCUGCCAACAGCAAUUUUCUUUGGUGGAAAAAACUAGAAGGAAUGUGGCCCCUCGGGGUGUUAUAGCCUUUUAGAAAAUACACUGAAGGGGAUUGAGGACUGCAGCAAAUGCUUUUGGCGAAAUAACUAGGUGCUUGUGUUAAGGACGUAUAGAAUCUCUGCUUCGGGUGGUGCUAUGCUCUGCGAUGCAACUCGCUUAGACUA